UACGAAGGGUGCAAGCGUUAAUCGGAAUUAUUGGGCGUAAAGGAUGCGUAGAUGGUGUAGUAAGUUAUCGGUGGCAAAUCGAGGCUCAACCUCGUGGAAGUCGGUAAUACUGCUAUGCUAGAGGAUAGGAGAGGUUAACGGAACUCCCUGUGGAGCGGUGAAAUGCGUAGAUAUAGGGAAGAACACCAAUCAGGCGAAGGCAGUUAACUAUUCUAUUCCUGACAUUGAGGCAUGAAAGCGUGGGGAGCAAAACGG
rnacentral:rRNA from 1 species